GAUGAACGCUAGCGAUAGGCUUAACACAUGCAAGUCGAGGGGCAGCAUGAUCUUAGCUUGCUAAGGUCGAUGGCGACCGGCGCACGGGUGCGUAACGCGUAUGCAACUUGCCUUACAGAGGGGGAUAACCCGUUGAAAGACGGACUAAAACCGCAUACACUUGUAUUAUUGCAUGAUAUUACAAGGAAAUAUUUAUAGCUGUAAGAUAGGCAUGCGUCCCAUUAGCUGGUUGGUGAGGUAACGGCUCACCAAGGCGACGAUGGGUAGGGGAACUGAGAGGUUUAUCCCCCACACUGGUACUGAGACACGGACCAGACUCCUACGGGAGGCAGCAGUGAGGAAUAUUGGUCAAUGGGCGAGAGCCUGAACCAGCCAAGUCGCGUGAAGGAAGACAGUCCUAAGGAUUGUAAACUUCUUUUAUACGGGAAUAAACG
rnacentral:rRNA from 1 species